CUACUCUGGAAGUAUGCAUCCACAUACAUCCACUCAUUUCCAUAUCCAGAUUCACCCAAAAUUAUUCUACUCCUAUCUAGGAGAGAAUAGCCAAAAUCAUUAUCCUAUCCCUGUUAUUCCCCGUGAAAUAAAUGCUCGAGAUAUUUUGGUUACUACCACUUGCUACAUUAUUCCAGGAGGGUGAGUGCUCUGAAAAAAGUGAAUACGAGGAAAUAAAAAGGGGCAAGUGCCUGAAACCUCGAAAAGAAAAAAAAGUGAGACGAGAGAUAAAAAUGGACAAGUGUCCGACAGUAGAAUUAGGGGUACAAGAUACCCACCUAAGAGAAAAGAAAAUUAAAAUAUAGAGCAUCUCAUUCCCCUCAAAAGCCUCAAGUGCAAGGAAGGUAUGUGCCCCCUCAAAAGAGCAAAAAUAGAAUUAGACUUUCACCAUUAUUUUCACCAUUAUCACCAUUCAUUCGCCACACAUGCACAUCUUGAUUUGACUUAUUGACUUGUUCUUCUGGAUCCAUGGUUUGACUAUGCAAUAAAUGUCUUGUAAGUAUGUAUUAGCUGUCUCUCACCUAUGAGCUCCAGAUAUCAAAACCUUAUUAGAGUAGGGUGAGAGAGAAGGCAAUGCCACUAUGCCUCAUACCAAAAAUACCACAUACUUUGAGAGAAGGCAUAUACCAUUACUGCCUUGGUAAGGAUCCAGAAAUACCACAAAAGAGAGACUAGAGAGAGUCAUACAUGGAAUCUCUGAGUUUUAUUUAAAAAUCUGCAAAAACUCUAGAGCUAUAGUC
rnacentral:lncRNA from 1 species